rnacentral:tRNA from 1 species
GCAUUCGUGGUUCAGUGGUAGAAUCCUUACCUUCCAUGUAGUAGACAGACUUAGGUUCGAUUCCUGGCCGAUGUA